CCCUUAGACGUUCUGGGCCGCACGCGCGCUACACUGACCAGUGCAACAAGCAUCCGUCCUUGGCCGACAGGCCCGGGCAAUCUUUGAACGCUGGUCGUGAUGGGGAUAGACUUUUGCAAUUUUUGGUCUUCAACGAGGAAUUCCUAGUAAACGCAAGUCAUCAACUUGCAUUGAUUACGUCCCUGCCCUUUGUACACACCGCCCGUCGCACCUACCGAUUGAAUGGUCCGGUGAAGCGUUCGGACCGUGGCCUUUGGACGGUUCGCCGUCUGUUGGCUGCGGGAAGUUCGUUAAACCUUAUCAUUUAGAGGAAGGAGAANUCGUAACA
rnacentral:rRNA from 1 species